rnacentral:snRNA from 1 species
AUCGCUUCUCCACCUUUUGGCUAAGAUCAAGUAUAGUAUCUGUUCUUAUCAGUUUAAUAACUGAUAUGUCAUCUAUCUGAGGGCAAUAUAUUAAAUGGAUUUUUGGAGCAGAGAGGUAGAAUAUGAGCUCACUCUGUCCACUCCACACAUGGACCUAGUAUUGUAAUUCCUCCAGAAAUGAUGCGCCCUUU